rnacentral:rRNA from 1 species
AGAGUUUGAUCCUGGCUCAGGACGAACGCUGGCGGCGUGCCUAAUACAUGCAAGUCGAACGCAUUUUCUUUCACCGUAGCUUGCUACACCGAAAGAAAAUGAGUGGCGAACGGGUGAGUAACACGUGGGUAACCUGCCCAUCAGCGGGGGAUAACACUUGGAAACAGGUGCUAAUACCGCAUAAUUCCAUUUACCGCAUGGUAGAUGGGUGAAAGGCGCUUUUGCGUCACUGAUGGAUGGACCCGCGGUGCAUUAGCUAGUUGGUGGGGUAACGGCCUACCAAGGCUGCGAUGCAUAGCCGACCUGAGAGGGUGAUCGGCCACACUGGGACUGAGACACGGCCCAGACUCCUACGGGAGGCAGCAGUAGGGAAUCUUCGGCAAUGGACGCAAGUCUGACCGAGCAACGCCGCGUGAGUGAAGAAGGUUUUCGGAUCGUAAAACUCUGUUGUUAGAGAAGAACAAGGAUGAGAGUGGAAAGUUCAUCCCUUGACGGUAUCUAACCAGAA